UACGGAGGGUGCAAACGUUGCUCGGAAUCAUUGGGCGUAAAGCGCACGUAGGCGGCUCGUUAAGUCGGAUGUGAAAGCCCCGGGCUCAACUCGGGAAGUGCAUUCGAAACUGGCGAGCUUGAAUAUGGAAGAGGGUCGCGGAAUUCCCGGUGUAGAGGUGAAAUUCGUAGAUAUCGGGAGGAACACCAGUGGCGAAGGCGGCGCCUGGGUCAAUAUUGACGCUGAGGUGCGAAAGCGUGGGGAGCAAACAGGG
rnacentral:rRNA from 1 species